UUUGGUAUUAGCUUUAUCUGAACUCCAGGUCGGGUGUCUAGAAUUCAACUGGGAGGAAGUUAAAAAGUUUCAGCGUCGAACUCAAGUUUUCUCUGAAGAUGAGUCUUGGCAAUCCGAUCCUGGCUCCCUCCCUGGCCUGCCAUUCAUCUGCGACCUCGGGAGAUAACAGCAGCUUGCACAGUAACACAGCAACAAUCAGGAUGACGACGAGCAUAGUAAACAAUACUUCUAACGCUUGAACCCUCCUGCACGGGGAGAGGAAAACACUCUGGCUGCAUCGCAUCUGUGCGUAGAUUCACCCCCAGCCCCAAUAUAAUUCUGUGCAGGCGGCUGAGCUCUGAGACGGAGAAAUGUGGAGCCGAGGCAGCCCGGGCCUGCUGGUGAGUCAACCGCGUGACAAGUCGACAGAAAAAAAGGGAAGAGCUGGAUGCUCCUGGGGUCCGCGCAGAGGGGCCGCGCAUGGCUACAUCAGUGACUUCACGCCCAAACAGACCCGCAGCGUCGAGGCUGCGGCGUGGUUCAAAAACCAACAAGAGCCAAGGGCCGGGGAGUGACCAAGGGGCUCAGAUCGAUGAGCACAGCGCCCUGACCCUCCGUUUCCGACUCUUUAGCAUGACAAUAUCAGAUACCCUGUUAAAGAAAAGGCCCCGUUCAAGCUGUGGAACUGCCGGCUUCUAUUCCUCCUUGGAGACGCAUCUGCCUACUUACCACCCCCGCCCGGGUAUCCCCCUCCAUCCCCGACCAGGCCUCUCUUUUUCGGUUCUUGCAGUACAAUCGGAACAAGUGAAAAAGGACCCUGAUUUUUCCAGAGGGACCACGCAGUCUGAAAAGCGGCUCUGGGAGGCCAGAGUGAGAUUCCUGUGACCCUGUGUGCAGCGUUUUGGCAGGUGGCUCAGGGCUGGUCCCACCGGGCGGGCGGCAAAAGCUGGAAGCCGCAGCCUGCUGCACACCCCCGGUGGCAUGAGGCGGUGCCAUUAGAGCCUCUCCAUUUCCCGUAUCCAGAGAAGCAAUUUUCAGGGUGAGGCACGGAACUCAUCAACAUCUCUCAUCACACCACGUCACUGACCUAAAUAUAGACAAUGACUUCAAGGAAGAGAGGGGGCGGGGGAAGAAGUUGCAAGUUCUUUUACACCUGCAAAUGCUGCGGAGAGCGUCAAACAAACUGGCAAUGAGGAACAAUAGAUAACCAGUCAGAUGGGAAGGCAGCAGAGAGGCUGUUCUAGAAUGAUGGCUGUGAUAAGGCCAUUACGGUGUCUCAGCGUAACAUCAAUCCUCAUUUGUAAGGCGGGGUGGAGAUAGCCCUGAGGGAGCAGCUCUGGGUCCCUUGCCAGCUUUUCCACGGGGAGCCCUGCGGGAGGAAGGGGGCAUCUGCCACAGAUCUUCCUGGCUGAGCCGGGCUGGUCUCUUCACUGGGUAGUGCAGGGCUCUGAUUCAAAGAGGCAGGCACUCACUGGACGGGAAGCCAUUUCUUUCCCACCCAAGAAGAGCACUGUGCAGUCUUUGUGACCAACAGCCUUCCCCAGCAGCCACUUGGAGCCACCCGCCUGUCUGGCCUUCCCCUGUCGCCUCCUGUGUCAAAGCCCUCCUCCACUCUGGAAGGCAGAAGUGCCCUGGAUCUCUUGUGUCUGCCAAGAGGGGUGUCAGCCAGGGUCACUCUCUCUCCCAGAACCUAUUCAGAGUCUUGAAUGACAUCAUAAGAGUGCCUACCUUACGGAUGUGGGCAUUAUUCACCUGCCAGGUGAGCGGAAGGGCUGUUUUAGCAGCUUUUAUGAACAUGAAUCCCAUGUCUAGGGACAUCGGAAAGACACCCGAGCCAAACAUUAAGUGUAGCUAGGCUAGUGACGUCAGCAAUUAGGACACAAUCGUGGGCAAUCAUUGUGGAGGAAGAGUCACCUGUCUCUCACAUGCUUCUAAUGCUCUUCCUGUUCACUCAGAUAACUAUCUGCGUAAGAACUGCAGCGGGGGAGGCUCCAGAGGCAAGCUAAUUGCCUGCUGUUAGGGAACCAGGGAGCCACUCCAGACUGGGGCUGUCCACAACUCCGUCAUUUAGGCUGAAACACAAGCCCGUGCUCUUCUGUGUGCGCAGAGCAUCCAUAAGUGCAGCCAUCAAUUUGUGACCUCAGAGAGUACGUAGCUGACCCCAGCAGAAGCAGAUGCCACUGUGGCAAGGAGAGCCCUGGCCCUUGGCAAAGUAACAAUGCAGAAGAACGGAAAGAACAACACCACCCAUGAGGUAAGAGGCCAAGGCAGCGCUGCACCUGGAGUAAAACCACGGCUCUAGCAAGAAACGAGGACAAGAAGCCACCCGAAUGCUCCAGCCAAACCAAAUGACAACCAGGAAAAGAUGCUGGCUCAAGAGGAGCCCAAGGUCAGAAUCCCCACCAGGGACAGUUUGGGCAGGGACAUCUUGGUGGCUUCCCUGACAUAGUGACCCUCUCUGUGGCUUUUACUGAUGUUCUGGAAAGUGAGACUGAGUCAGAGCGAGGAAAAUAAGGAUCUGUAUGAAGGAAAAAAAAAAAAAAAACAUCCCCAAAGGGUGGCAGAAAGAGUGGCUCUGGAUUACAAAUGUCAGUUUAAGGGGAUCCACCAUAAUAGAAAUCUAGUUGCUCUGUUCUGUGCAACGGGAGGACUCUGGCACUGGUGGUUUCUACAAAGGGCUGGAAGCUAACUGGGUUCAGAGUCUGGAAGAUCCCGACAGUGUUUCACUUCUGCAGGGCUUCCGCCUCCCUCCACAGACCCCGGGAAAUAUACUCUCUGGGAUAGGUGAAUGCAAUUAAAAAUUACAAAAGACUAGCAGGGGGAAAAAAGCAAUUUGGUCAAGAAGAAAUAUGCCCAGAGUCAUUUUUUUUUUCCAAUCCAAUAUCUUUGUUAAUUAAGCAUUUUCCAACCUAUGAUGAGAAUACUAAUAGUAAUCGAAUACUUACUACUCAUUACUAAUAAAACAUAUUUGUGAAAUGGAAAUGUAAUGUGCCUAUUUCCAAAAUGUGGUUAUAAAUGACUUACUCUCAGCCACAAUUUAAAGUGGUUUGAGAAAUGAGUCUUUAAUAAAGAAUUGAUGAGGAA